GGCGGCACGCCUAAUACAUGCAAGUCGAACGAAGUAGCAAUACUUAGUGGCAGACGGGUGAGUAACAUGUAGGUAUCUUCCCUAUGGUGAGGAAUAACACGAGGAAACUUGUGCUAAUACCUCAUAAGUCUUUACAGAGAAAGCUUUAUGCGCCAUUGGAUGAGCCUGCACUUGAUUAGUUUGUUGGUGGGGUAAUGGCCUACCAAGACUUUGAUCAAUAGCUGAUUUGAGAGGAUGAUCAGCCACAUUGGGACUGAGACACGGCCCAAACUCCUACGGGAGGCAGCAGUAGGGAAUCUUGCACAAUGGAGGAAACUCUGAUGCAGCGAUGCCGCGUGAGUGAAGAAGGCCUUUGGGUUGUAAAGCUCUUUCGUCGGGGAAGAAAAUGACUGUACCCGAAUAAGAAGGUCCGGCUAACUUCGUGCCAGCAGCCGCGGUAAUACGAAGGGACCUAGCGUAGUUCGGAAUUACUGGGCUUAAAGAGUUCGUAGGUGGUUAAAAAAGUUGGUGGUGAAAUCCCAGAGCUUAACUCUGGAACUGCCAUCAAAACUUUUUAGCUAGAGUAUGAUAGAGGAAAGCAGAAUUUCUAGUGUAGAGGUGAAAUUCGUAGAUAUUAGAAAGAAUACCGAUUGCGAAGGCAGCUUUCUGGAUCAUUACUGACACUGAGGAACGAAAGCAUGGGUAGCGAAGAGGAUUAGAUACCCUCGUAGUCCAUGCCGUAAACGAUGUGUGUUAGACGUUGGAAAUUUAUUUUCAGUGUCGCAGUGAAAGCAAUAAACACACCGCCUGGGGAGUACGAC
rnacentral:rRNA from 1 species